rnacentral:rRNA from 1 species
CCUACGGGUGGCAGCAGUGAGGAAUAUUGGUCAAUGGCCGGAAGGCUGAACCAGCCAAGCCGCGUGAAGGACGAAGGUGCCAAGCAUUGUAAACUUCUUUUGUCAAGGGACAAAAUCAGGCUCGAGAGCCUGACCGAGGGUACUUGAAGAAAAAGCAUCGGAAAACUCCGUUCCAGCAGCCGCGGUACUACGGUGGAUGCGAGGGUUAUCCGGAUUUAUGGGGUUUAACGGGGGCGUCGGCGGGCCGUUAAGUCAGCGGGAAAGGCCCGGGGCUCAACCCCGGCGAGCCGUUGAAACUGGCUGUCUUGAGAUGUCGAGAGGGAUGCGGAAUGCGAAGUGUAGCGGUGAAAUGCUUAGAGAUUGCGCAGAACUCCGAUGGCGAAGGCAGCAUACCGGCGGCGAUCUGACGCUGAGGCACGAAAGCGUGGGUAUCGAACAGGAUUAGAUACCCUUGUAGUC